rnacentral:lncRNA from 1 species
CCGCCCCCGCAACCGGAGGACGAAGUUGGCGGCGUCUCAGCCUCCUGCUGCUGCGAGUCGCGGUGGAACUGCACUUCUAGGGCCGACAGCUUCUCCCUCCCGCUCGGGCCCCGCGCGGCAACGGCCGCCCGAAGGCCUCCGGCCCCCUCCUUUUCCGAGCGCAUGCCGCACUCUCCGCCGAGCCGCAGCCGCCAGCCCCCGACGAAACCUCGCGAGAGCUCGGCCGCCCCAGCCCCGCCCCUCCUCGAGCCGCGGCGGUCGGGGCCGCCCACGAAGGGGUCAGGCGCUGCGGGACUAGUCGGGGUCGGGGUGGUGACCUCCGGCCACACAGCCUGGCUUUCCGCCGGGUCAGGCGGCCCCUCAGGGAGCGGCGGCCGCGGUUUAGGGCGGCCCCGGAAGCGGGGCGCCGGCGGCUUUGGUCCGGGCGUGGUGGGAGGAGUUCGCGGACAAGCCGCCCUCCCAUCCCAGCACCGUUUUUAUCCCACUCCCCCAGGCUCUCCGUGGCCGGGGCGCCAUGAAAGCCGGGUUCACAUUUGAAUUCUUAAUUUUUUUGGAGACAGUCUCGCUCUGUCGCCCAGACCGGAGUGCAGUGGCGCGAUCUCGGCUCACUGCAGCCUCUGCCUCAGCCUCCUGAGUGGCUGGGACCUACAGGCACGCGCCACCACCCCUGGCUAAUUUUUUUGUUUUUUUAAAGUAGAGACGGGGUUUCACCUUGUUGGCCAGGAUGGUCUCGGUAACUCCUGACCUCAAGUGAUCCGCCCACCUCGGCCUCCCAAAGUGCUGGGAUUACAGGCAUGAGCCACCGCUCCGGGCCCUUGCACAUAUUUUUUUAUGAACACACAGGCAGCAGCACUUUGAUUACAGUAACUUACAUGGAAGUUAUUUUAAAAUGGCUUUCCCCUUCUCUUUUUCAUGUAGGCUGCAUUUUUCAUCUGCAGCACGCUUUCUCUCAAGAAUCUCAAGCACACACAAGAAACCAGAGAGUAAAAUCACUGAGGCGUGAACACAUCCAGAGACCAAGGGCGUCACUGGCAGAAAAGCUUUUAGGCGGAUCCACGGCCCGAGAGCCACCCUGCCCAGAGACGCGGUUUCCUAGGAGCAGUUCACACGCGGCUCUGCAGCACCCACAAGCGGGGCCAGGGGCUGGUUUUCAUAGUUCACAGUCUGCAGGGAUCUUAACAAAAACAUGGCCGUGGUAAAAGUGCCUAGACCAGGCUUUCGUCACAACUCAGUGAGUAGGAAGACUAGUUAGGCUGAUGAAAAGCUCUGAUGAUGUGUGAUUAAAAGUAGGAAAACGUGGUUGCCAAAUAAAAUAUUUUACUAUAUAGUCAGGGGGAGAGAUGGGGAUAAAAAAAUGUGGAAACCAUUUAUUUUAAAAUUUUGACUGUUCCUGCAGUGUUUAAAAUAUAGGAGAUAUAUUCUGAUUAUCUUUAGAAAGAAACUGCUCUCAAUCUAUUUGUAUGUCUUCCCUCUGGUUUUAAAAUAUUAAACAAUCAUCUAACUCAAUAUUUAAUUUUACCUCUAGUCAUGUUACUAGGUUAGGAUAAUAAAAAGGACUGUGAACUUCACAUCUGCCAUCUAUAAUAGAUUCUUAUUGUAGCAAUCUUGCACCAAGGGGAUUUCUUUAUUAACUCUGCCAAAUUUUCCAAAAUUACCAAAUGGAGAAAAGAGCUGGUCCCAUCUGUCACCAGGCACAACCAGUUUGGAACCAAAACUGCAGUGUCCCCAAGGCAUGCCUGUAGGUAAACAUGAGUCCAUACUGAUAAAUGAUCGAAUAAACAGGAGAGAAGAAACAAAUCUUCAAGAAGAAUAACAUGCACAGAUACUGCUCUCUCCAGGGGUUGGAGCUGAAACCUCCUCAACCCACAGAGUAUGGAAAGGGAAAAACAGGAACUUGACAGUGGAGAAAUCUGGCAGACACCACUGUGACCAGGUGGCCAAGGUCAGCACUGCCUGGGAUAGGUCGUGUGGUGGUUACAACCACCCAGUAGGAUGUGAUGAGAAAGGUGCUUGAGAAACACAUCAAACUCCAAUUGAGGGACAUUCUACAGACUACCUGGCCAGUACUCCUCAAAACUGUCAAGGUCAUGAGAAACAAGGGAAGUCUGAGAAACUGUCACAGGCAAGAGAACGCAAAGGAGAUGGGAUGACUAAAUGCAGUAUGUGCCUGGAUGGGACUCUGGGACAGAAAGCAGACAUUACGGAAAAACUGGUGAAAUCCAAAUCAAGGCUGGAUUUUAGUGAAUGGACACUAACAAUGUUGGUUUCUUAGUCAUGACAAAUGUACCAUGGGAAGAGAAGAGGUUACCAAUGGGGGAAACUAGGUGAGGGGCACACAUAAGCUCUCUGUACUAUCUCUGCCAUUUUUCUGUAAAUCAAAAAUUAGUCCAAAAUAAAAGUUUAUUGGAAAAGAAAAAAAAAGACAUAACAGAUGGUUUACCUUCUUUAUUCCACUAUGUAUAACUAUUUUGUAGGUUCAGAGAAUCAGAACACAUCUGUUGCAAAGGUGUGCGAUCCAGUCUCUUAAGGCGGGUCUCUGUUCCUAAAUGUAGAGAUGCAGUUUGGAGUCACGUUAGGAAGUGGGACAUUCUUAAGCCAUGGAGAGGAUGUGAAGGAAUACUAACCUACACUGGGACAGUGGGACCAGGACCACUGACUGGAGUCACGUGCUGUGGUCUGACAUAGAUGUCUCUAACAUCAUGUCACUUUCAUUCAUUUCAAUUUCAAAGGUUUCUUCCAAGGAAGGUCUGGAAUCUGGAGUUUUCCUUGAGGUUUCCAAUGGCGUAAGCCCCGUUUCUUCUGCAGUCUGUUUUUCUACUUCAAAUUCCCUGAAAUCCCACGGAGGUGAAAUAAUGUUUUUUAGUGUCUUCAUUGUAUGCACAUCAAAGUCAUAACAUUUUAAUUUGUCUUUAAUGUCUGCUCCUAAAAAGAAAUACUAUAAUUAGAAUAAAAUAAGAAAUUCCAUCACUUAUCAUUUCUAUUGUUAUAUAACACCAUCUCUUAUCAUUUAAGUCAGAUUAUACUAUUUAGAAUAAAAUACAAAACUCCAUCAUUUAUCAUUUCCAUCAUUAUACACCAUCUCUAUCAUUUAAGUCAAAUUAUACUUUUAAGAGCACAAGUUGAGAGCAGAAGGAAAACAACAUUCCAAUCUUCUUUUUCAUUUGUUUUCCACCAUUUGCAAAGGAAGUGUCAGAAGACUUUCAGAAGCACAUGCAGUUGCAGCUCCAGUGUUUCAACAGUUGCCCAUUUCCAAGGCCUCCUAAAUACGUAUGAGGCCUGUGGACAACUUUCUCCUCAGCUGUUACAGGUAAGAACUGCACUGUGUGGCCAGGCGCGGUGGCUCACACCUAUAAUCCCAGCACUUUGGGAGGCCGAGGCGGGCAGAUCACAAGGUCAGGAGAUCGAGACCAUCCUGGCUAACACGGUGAAACCCAGUCUCUACUAAAAAAAAAAAUACAAAAAAAUUAGCCGGGCAUGGUGGCGGGUGCCUGUAGUCCCAGCUACUCAGGAGGCUGAGGCAGGAGAAUGGCAUGAACCCAGGAGAUGGAGCUUGCAGUGAGCCGAGAUAGUGCCACUGCACUCCAGCCUGGGCAACAGAGUGAGAUUCCAUCUCAAAAAAAAAGAACUGUGCUGUGCCCAUUGGGUAUAGUCACCAAUCUUAUGCAUAAAAAAGCCACGAUGAAAUAAAAUCCAUUUCCCAUAUAUUAAAACCUUAAGGGUAAUAUAGAUUUGAACAGAUCUGAACAGAUGUAUUAGGUACAAUCAUUCGACAUAAACAAAAUGAGUUUUACACAGUUCAAACCAAUAGCUUUCAGAAAUAGGUAGUUUGGCAGAUAAUGACAUGCAAACUUUCUAAAAAUAAAAAUGACAUGAAUGGUAAAUCUUGGCCGGGCGCGAUGGCUCACGCCUGUAAUCCCAGCACUUUGGGAGGCCGAGGCGGGUGGAUCACGAGGUCAGGAGAUCGAGACCAUCCUGGCUAAUGUGGUGAAACCCCGUCUCUACUAAAAAUACAAAAAAUUAGCCGGGCAUAGUGGCGGGCGCCUGUAGUCCCAGCUACUUGGGAGGCUGAGGCAGGAGAAUGGCGUGAACCUGGGAGGCAGAGCUUGCAGUGAGCCAGGAUUGCACCACUGCACUCCAGCCUGGGUGACAGAGAGAGACUGUGUCUCAAAAAAAAAAAAAAAAAAAAAAAAAGGUAAAUCUCUUCUGCGAGGUCAAGGAGACAUCCCUCUGACUCAUUAUCAACUCUCUAGCCUUUAUUUAGCUUCCUAUGAACUUCCCACCCUUGAACAAAUGAGGAAACUAAGGCUCAGACUUGCCUUUCUUGCCACAGGGCUGCCGAGGGGCAGAGCUGAGGCUUCAACCUAGCAUCUCUCAGAAACCAGAGCUUAAAUUUGUUUUUUAAAAUUGAGCUAAAACCAAGAGUCAAGUGUGAAUCCCCUUAAGCACAUGGCUGAAUGAACCCUAUGUACAUGCAUCCCAGAUGACUACCGCCAGAAUGGCACAGAACACAUGCAGCUCCUUAAGACCCUGUGCCCACUCCUGGUCAAUACUGUCAGCUUUCCCAAGCCUGAGAUAAGCACUUCUUGGACUUUUCUAUCGCUACCAAUUAGUUUUGUUCAUUACUAAUUGACAUGGUUUGGAUCUGUGUCCCACCAAAUCUCAGGGUGAACCGUAAUCCUCAAUGUUGGAGGUGGGGCCUGGUAGGAGGUGACUGGAUCAUGGGGGUGGUUUCUCCUGAAUGGUUUAGUACCAUCCUCUUGGUGCUGUUCUCGUGAUAGUGAGUUCUGGUUGUUUAAAGUAUGUAGCACCUCCUCCCUUUCUCAAUCCCUCCUGUUCCGGAUAUGUCAAGUGCUGGCUCCCCACUUAGCCUUCUGCCAUGAUUUCAAGUUUCCUGAGGCCUCCCCGGAAGCCAAGCAGAUGCCAGCAUCAUACUUCCUAUAUAGCCUGCAGAACUGUGAGCCAAUUACAUUUCUUUUCUUAUAAAUUACCCAGGCUCAGGUAUUUCUUUACAGCAAUGCGAGAAUGAACUAAUACACUAAUCUUCCUAUAAAUGGAAGUAAUUAGUACAUAUUCACAUUUUUGUCAAAAAUCUGUGAAAUUUGUUGGGCGUGGUGGCUCACGCCUAUAAUCCCAGCACUUUCGGAGACUGAGGCGGGCGGAUCACCCGAGGUCAGGAGUUCGAGACCAGCCUGGCCAACAUGGUGAAACCCCAUCUCUACUAAAAAUACAAAAAAUUAGCUAGGUGUGGUGGCAUGCGCCUGUAAUCCCAGCUACUCAGGAGGCUGAGGCAGGAGAAUUGCUUGAACCCAGGAGGCAGAGGUUGCAGUAAGCCGAGAUGGCGCCCCUGCACUCCAGCCUGGGUGACUGAGUGAAACUCCAUCUCAGAAAAAAUAAUAAAAAAUAAAAAAAUCUGUGAAACUGAUGCAUGUUUCUAAAUGAUUCAGUAGUCUUUCAAAUAAUAUAGUAUUCUAUUGUAUGAACAUACCACAAUUUAUUUCUCCUCUCUCCUACUGGUGGACGUUUGAGUCAUUUCCAGUUAGGUGCUGUAAUGAAUAAAGCUAUGAAUACUCUUGUUUGUGACCUUUAGUGGACAGAAGCACUUGCUUCCACUGGGCUCAUACCUGGGAGUAGAACUGCUACAUCACAAAAUCAGUAUGGUCAAUCAUCACCCUAAUACCCACCCCAAUGAAUCACACCUCCCAGCACCCUCACCCUGGUACAGCCCCCUCCCACAUUGACUCUGAGCUUAUGAGACUUGUACUGAUGGAACAGAACGUGACGGAAGUGAUGUUGUGCAACUCUGAAUUUUCAAGAGGUCCUGAACUGUGGUUCUUGUCCUUUAGAACCCUGGGAACAUCGUGCUACAAAGAAACCUAAGAUGAAAGCCCCACAGAGAGAGACUCAGCACCCAAGCUGAGCUCCCUACUGGAGAAUGGUACCAUUUUAGACCAUCUACCCAGUCAAGUAUCUGCUGACCACAGCUGCAUGAGUAAACCUAGACAAGACCCACAAAUGGGUCACUCAACCCACAGAAUUGUAAAAAUAACACGUUGUUGGUUGAGGUUUUGGAGUGGUUAGGCAGCAAUAGAGAGCUG